AUGCAGAAGCAAGGGACUGUCGUUUCUCUACAAGUCCUAGAAAUUAAAGGCAAAGGAGUCACCAAGCGGACCCCUCUCCGAACACCGAGUGAAGCAAGGCUCCCCAGCUUCUGCCAGGCAGUGGCGUUGUUUUCAGAGCUGCUCCUAGUACUGCCCUCCGGGGGUGUGGGCCCAGGCACAGCGCCCAGCCUCUGUGCGCAGCGCCUCCUCAGGUCACACGGGCCACACGGAGCCAGCUGCUCACAGAACAGAGGCCGCUGCUCACAGGCACAAGAGGUCGGCCAGAGGCGCACAGGCCAGGCUGGAUGUCCAUCCAGCGCAGCCGGACCGCAAAGCCUGCCCUCCGGAACCCCAGCCGUGGGGCCUCUCUCAGAAGGGGGCCGUGUGGGUCCGGGGGAUUCCACCACGUGCCCGUGUGUGCCGGGCCUGACCGAUUUGAGCCACGCUGGCCUCUCAGCUCCCUGCACUCGAGGCCAGAUGCUCACACAUUCACCAUGCCCCAAGCCCCAGGCCCCUGGGGCACUCGAGCCUUCCUGUGCGCAUCUUCUCCCACACUGCACUCUCCCCUGUGUUCUGCGGGGAGAACACCAGUUUCCAAGCAGCUCCAAGGCCCCGCUCGAUGGUUUUCCCCAUUCUUCCUUCCUCUGGGACCCCCGGGCCCCACGCCGGGACUGCCCUCCUCUCAUCUGCUCCCUCCUCGCCAUCCACAGCCCCGGGCCUGAGAGGGGGCAGACCCAGAACAGAUCCUGCUUCCCGCCACACGCUACCUGAGACAGUUUCCAAGGGUGGGGUCCAAGGUUGAAGUCCCCCAACCCUUUUCUUUGUACUGGGAUUCGAACUCAGGGCCUUGCUCCUGCCAGGCAGGCGCUGUGCCGCUGAGCUACCUCCCAGGUCCUCAGGGUUGGAGUUCUAAAAAGCGGCCCUGUCCUCUGCCCGGCCAAAGUGAAGAACUCUCUGGCCUGCUAGAUCUGCCCUUGACCUCUUGGAACCUUCUGACUUAUGGCUAUCAAAACUAAAACUAACUCCUCCUUCCGAAACCCCGCUAAAAAUGAGACUAAAGGAGCAGAAAGAGGUAGAAGCGACAAGGUAUCUGAGAGCAGGAGGAGAGGUGGCAGCAGAUGAAGGAUGUCAGCAGUUGAGGGAGGUGGAAGGCAGGAAGGAGCGGUGAGUCACACCCAGCGCGGAGGAAGCGAGGCGGGGCCUGCGGGCGGGGCAGGGCCGCACUGCCAGGGAACCCCUGAGCUAGAGGCUGGAGCCUGUGAGGACCAGCAGGCUGCCAGCUGCAGCCCCGGGUGGGCACAGACUCCUGUGAGACCCCUGGAGUUUACUCUCUGGGGAACCUGGAUCUGCACACCAGGCAUUGGGCAGGUGGGAAAAGAUGAAGCUAAGAGGUAAACUCCCAGGCCACCCUCAGACCCAGGAUGGAGACAGUAGAGCCCUUUUCUACACAAGCUGCAUAGGCUCAAGGAAAAGGCCUCUACAUACAGACACUUGGAGCCCCCAAGGAAAGAGCCAAUUUAGGACCAGCCCCCUGGCACAGAGAGUCCACCUAAGCACACUGACCACCCAUCUUUUUUUUUUUUUUGAGACAGGGUUUCACUAUGCA
ensembl:lincRNA